AUGGUUGCUUGUGUUAAUCUUGAAGAUGCCCUUAAGAGUGGAGAACAUACAAAUAUUGAUGGAUUUGAAUUGUGCUGUGAGCUAAUUUUCAUCCAGGAUUUACUUCAUAAAUCAAUGGGUCCUCUUGACAUUCUGAAUUAUUUGAAGAAGCGCUCCACAAUCUAUCCUAAUGCUGUUAUUGCAUACAUAAUUUUGUUAACCAUUCCUGUAACCGUUGCAUCUGCUGAAAGGAGUUUUUCUAAACUCAAGUUGUUGAAGUCCUACUUGCGUUCUACCAUGACACAAGAAAGACUUAAUGGAUUUGCGACAAUAGCACUUGAAAAUGAUGUCUUGGAGAAGAUAAAGUACGAAAAUAUGAUUGAAGAUUUUAUUUCAAGAAAUAACAGACGGAUGCUUCUUUUUGGUAGAACAUGA
rnacentral:rRNA from 1 species